AUAAAUAAUAAUACAGCGGACUACACAUGAGAAAAUAAAAUGUCAAAAUAAACUCGAUUUUGAAAAUAAUGAUCUAUUUUCGAAGGAAACUUUUUGGACUUAAGCUCCUUUAAGGAUAUUGUUUUCUGGAAAUUACCGACAUUGCAGAUGUUCCAAGUUCCCGUGUCUGCGAUUUCAAACGAGGGGCCAUUUACUUUCGAGUCAAGGGGAUUAAGCCUUUGAAAUCAAUAUGAAACCAAAUGCAACAAUCAUAAUACAUUGUGACUUCAUCUGAAACCAGCGGCAUCUGAGUGGGUUUUUUGUAAAAGAUCCAAUAUUUUAAAAUGAGUGAAAAUCGAGCGAAAUUAGCAAAAAUCUCUUAAAUUAUUUCGAAAUAUUGAGCGAGUCAGUAGGAGUCAACGGAAAUUGUGAGCAAUCACGAGCAGUCAAGCGAGCAUAUCAAGAGAGCAGUCAGUGUAGUCAGUGCAAAUAUUGUGCGCAAAAAAUCAGCGUGCAACCACAGAUUUGCUCAUGUCGUUAAUUUCAUUUCGACUGACUUACCGUUCAAAAACUAAAAUAAAAGGCGGCUUACCUGCCAGCGGCCUGCUGCUCACUUGGUUAAACAUGGUACAAUUCGAUAAAGUCGGUAGAGAAGAUCGGAGUUGGUCAAAUGGGAAUCAUAGCGUUCUUGUUUUAUAUUUUUAUUUCUAAUUUUUUAAUAUAUAUUAAUAUUGUGCAAUUUUU